rnacentral:piRNA from 1 species
UCAUCUUGCAAAACUGAGACUCGGUACCCA